CAGCAGCCACGGUAAUACGAAGGGGGCUAGCGUUGUUCGGAUUUACUGGGCGUAAAGCGCACGUAGGCGGAUCGAUCAGUCAGGGGUGAAAUCCCAGAGCUCAACUCUGGAACUGCCUUUGAUACUGUCGAUCUGGAGUAUGGAAGAGGUGAGUGGAAUUCCGAGUGUAGAGGUGAAAUUCGUAGAUAUUCGGAGGAACACCAGUGGCGAAGGCGGCUCACUGGUCCAUUACUGACGCUGAGGUGCGAAAGCGUGGGGAGCAAACAGGAUUAGAUACCCCAGUAGUCCCUGUCUCUUAUAC
rnacentral:rRNA from 1 species